UUGUCCGGAAUUACUGGGUGUAAAGGGAGUGUAGGCGGGAUAUCAAGUCAGAAGUGAAAAUUACGGGCUCAACUCGUAACCUGCUUUUGAAACUGACAUUCUUGAGUGAAGUAGAGGCAAGCGGAAUUCCUAGUGUAGCGGUGAAAUGCGUAGAUAUUAGGAGGAACACCAGUGGCGAAGGCGGCUUGCUGGGCUUUUACUGACGCUGAGGCUCGAAAGCGUGGGGAGCAAACAGGAUUAGAUACCCUGGUAGUCCACGCCGUAAACGAUGAUUACUAGGUGUGGGGGGAUUGACCCCUUCCGUGCCGGAGUAAACACAAUAAGUAAUCCACCUGGGGAGUACGACCGCAAGGUUGAAACUCAA
rnacentral:rRNA from 1 species